CGAAGGGAUUCGUCAUCUUCGCUUCCUGGCUCACAGUCAACUGUCUGGGAACAAAAAAAGCAGUAACAAAUUUUGGGCAGGCACCAACCUUUUCUUCUGGGUUUGCGCAACACUUAAAACAUCUGUUGCGGUCCCUAAGGACAGCAUCUGAGAGGAAAAUACUGCAUCAUGGAGGCUGGGAGCGUGCAGAGCAUACAUAAAGUAAAACUGGACAGCAAGUGGGAGUAGUAGUAAUGGGCACAGACACUCCUGGAAUGUGUUUCAGGAUACAGAGUUUGAAACAAAAAUUAUGAUACUGGUUUUAUACUUGGUUUCAAGAAUCAAGAGAUAGUUUAAAACAAGUAAUUUGUUUUUGCAAAUUUAGGUAUCUGAUCAUUAAAGGAAUAAGAAGUCUAUAGGAAGAGCUAGUUGUGAAAAUCACAACCUGAUCUACAACUAGAGUUUACUGUAAAGAAGGCUUCUUAAAAACUAGUUUUCAGGAUUCCUAAAUCAUCUGAAGACCUCAGAGAACCAAACCCAGUGGUAGUUAGAAUAACUUAGAAAUUCUUUGAAGAACUUCAUAAUUGCAAGAGACCAAGCAAGUGCAUCUUAAAAGUUUACCAUCCCUUAGCUAAGGUGCAGUAACUGAAUGUACUAAGCAAAAUAAUUUUAUAUUGUGUCAUUGUUUAAGCUGCAAUAGAGUUAAUUUUCUCCACUGCAGCUGGCACAGUGCUGUGCUUUGGGCUUAGUCUGAAAAUAAUGUUGGUAACACACCGAUAUUUUAGUUGUUGCUGGGUAGUGCUUGUACUAGCCAAGGACUUUUCCAGCUUCCCAUGCUCUGCCAGGUGCACAAGCAGCUGGGAGGGGAGGGGGCACAGCUAAGAGAGCGGAUUCAAACUGGCCAAAGGGAUAUUCCAUAUCAUGUAAUGCCAUGCCCAGUAUGUUAACUGGGAGGAGCUGGCCGGGGGAGGCAGGCAGCAAUCGCGGCUCGGGGACCGGCAGCGUCGGUCAGCGGAUGGUGAGGGGUUGUAUCGUUUCUGUUUUUUCCCUUUUUCCUUUUUAUUAUAUUAUCAUUAU